CACGUAGGGGCCAAGCGUUGUCCGGAUUUAUUGGGCGUAAAGAGCUCGUAGGCGGCUCAGAAAGUCGGGUGUGAAACCUCCAGGCUCAACCUGGAGACGCCACCUGAUACUGCUGUGGCUAGAGUCCGGUAGGGGAACACGGAAUUCCCGGUGUAGCGGUGAAAUGCUUAGAUAUCGGGAGGAACACCAGUGACGAAGGCGGUGUUCUGGGCCGGAACUGACGCUGAGGAGCGAAAGCGUGGGGAGCAAACAGG
rnacentral:rRNA from 1 species